rnacentral:rRNA from 1 species
GACGAACGCUGGCGGCGUGCCUAAUACAUGCAAGUCGAACGAAGCCUUCGGGCUUAGUGGCGGACGGGUGAGUAACACGUGGGAACGUACCUUUUGGUUCGGAAUAACUCAGGGAAACUUGUGCUAAUACCGAAUGUGCCCUUCGGGGGAAAGAUUUAUCGCCUUUAGAGCGGCCCGCGUCUGAUUAGCUAGUUGGUGAGGUAAAGGCUCACCAAGGCGACGAUCAGUAGCUAGUCUGAGAGGAUGAUCAGCCACAUUGGGACUGAGACACGGCCCAAACUCCUACGGGAGGCAGCAGUGGGGAAUCGUGCGCAAUGGGCGAAAGCCUGACGCAGCCAUGCCGCGUGAAUGAUGAAGGUCUUAGGAUUGUAAAAUUCUUUCACCGGGGGCGAUAAUGACGGUACCCGGAGAAGAAGCCCCGGCUAACUUCGUGCCAGCCGCCGCGGUAACAC